GAAAUACACUCUGAUGAUUCCCAGUAAACCACUGUGAUCCUUGCCACUGAUUUGGACAUUGGCUGCUCCUAAUCUUUCAGGAUCCUGCUGUCCUACCACCUGCCAACAAAGACAAUGUCUAGACAGAAUGAUAUUGAGAAUAAACAUCCAAGAACGCUUUGGAACAUAUAUACCCACAGGGAUUAAAUGGAGGUCUUAAAACUGCACUUGGAAGAAUGUCUACAGUCAAAUGAUGGUGUUAAGACAAUACAAUUUCAGUGAUCUUUAUAGUCUUAAAUCUUUGCUUUUACUACCUGUUGGGCUCAAUCCUGCAAAUCCUUAUUUCUGCAAAUGGUUCUACUACAGUAAAAAAGUCAAUUUCCAAGUAUAGUUACGAGUUUCCUUUAACUGGAAAGGCGAAGGUUGGUUCCCACUCCCAUCACCAAGGCAGUUCACUGAAGUAUUGCAUGUUGCUGGCUUCUGCCUUUCCACAUCCAGGCCAGGCCAACACAACUGUGUUUCUGGGUGCCCACCAGUACCUACCAGUGGGCAGCCACCCACCUGCUGUGCACAUGGCUCAUCUGCAGGGUGUCACAUUCCUGAUUAGAAACACAGAUUAGGAAGCAGGCUGUAAUUUCUAAAACCAAGUUUUGUAAAUGGAGAUUAUUUCCCUGUCAUCUACCUCAUUUUUAGGCUUGGUUUUUUCAUAGCUAAAAUAAUGACCAAUUAGCUUGUAAUGUCUAAUUGGCCAAAGGAUCGUUAGUUCCUCCUGCUUCUCUCAUAUAGGAAUUACUGAUUAUUGAUAUUUCAACAAGUUUGCAACCUGCUGGUGGUGGAAAGAACUCAUUUUGGCAUAACAUUUGGUACUAGGCAUGUUGAGUGCAGGUGACUGCAUGCUUUCUCCAUGCUCCAGAGCAAAACAACCAUCCGCACAAGUACAAGAAAUAAACAGUGAAGUUGGCUGUCGUUCAGCAGACAGCAUAUAUUCAGGAGAAUAACCAUACAUUUUUUUGUCAUCAAUUUCAACUGCAAAUCAAGUUGUCAUACAAACAGCAAAAAGUAGAAUGCUUUUUUUCUGUGAAAAAUUCUAUUCUAGUUAAAAUUAAACUCAAAAAGUUAGACCCAAUCAUAGUUCAAUUUUAAGUCUACUCAGGAUCAUGAGUCUGCCUUGUGCUUUAUAUGGUAAAUGUUGCAGCAUUUAUAAAAUCUGUAUGUUGAAUAAUUAUAAUGCAAAGCAAUAAAGAGAGUCUUAGUCUCUUUUUAAUUAAUUUUAUUCUCUUCUGUAGGUUAUUUUUUUAAUAAUCUUUUUACUUUCUUCUAUGAUAAUUGUAAGCCUAUUUUAAGGCAACGAAGUCUAACAAGCUAACUAAAUAAAGUAUUUGGACAGCA